rnacentral:rRNA from 1 species
AUUGAACGCUGGCGGCAGGCCUAACACAUGCCAGUCGAGCGGAUGAAGGGAGCUUGCUCCUGGAUUCAGCGGCGGACGGGUGAGUAAUGCCUAGGAAUCUGCCUGGUAGUGGGGGAUAACGUCCGGAAACGGGCGCUAAUACCGCAUACGUCCUGAGGGAGAAAGUGGGGGAUCUUCGGACCUCACGCUAUCAGAUGAGCCUAGGUCGGAUUAGCUAGUUGGUGGGGUAAAGGCCUACCAAGGCGACGAUCCGUAACUGGUCUGAGAGGAUGAUCAGUCACACUGGAACUGAGACACGGUCCAGACUCCUACGGGAGGCAGCAGUGGGGAAUAUUGGACAAUGGGCGAAAGCCUGAUCCAGCCAUGCCGCGUGUGUGAAAAAGGUCUUCGGAUUGUAAAGCACUUUAAGUUGGGAGGAAGGGCAGUAAGUUAAUACCUUGCUGUUUUGACGUUACCAACAGAAUAAGCACCGGCUAACUUCGUG